UACGGAGGGUGCAAGCGUUAUCCGGAUUCACUGGGUUUAAAGGGUGCGUAGGUGGGCAGGUAAGUCAGUGGUGAAAUCUCCGGGCUUAACCCGGAAACUGCCGUUGAUACUAUCUGUCUUGAAUAUAGUGGAGGUGAGCGGAAUAUGUCAUGUAGCGGUGAAAUGCUUAGAUAUGACAUAGAACAUCGAUUGCGAAGGCAGCUCGCUACGCUAUUAUUGACACUGAGGCACGAAAGCGUGGGGAUCAAACAGG
rnacentral:rRNA from 1 species